rnacentral:lncRNA from 1 species
UCAUAUUCAAUUUCAAUUUUUUUAUUCAAGAAUGUGAUUUAGUCAAAUUUGAUCUAGACUGGGGCUAUUAAACCUGGCUCUGAUGUCAUGAUUAAUAAAUUACGGAGCACAGUGUGUACCUUGGAUAAAUUACGGAGCACAGUGUGUACCUUGGUAAACUUCGCAGCUGAUGAAAUUGAUUUUGCUACCAAAAAAAAAAUCUGCCCCUAGUCUGCUUUGAAUCUCUUGAAAGCAAAGUCUUGAAUCACAAACUCAAUGUUAUCCUUGUUGGUGUUGUUAAUUUUUUUUGAUUUUCUGCCUUUUUUUAUUCUGUUUUCUUCUUCGUUCUUGACAGAAGAAUGACCAAAUAAAUAGAAAUUUUUGGGUGGUAAUAGUUAUGUAACUAUUCCCACUUUUAUUUAAAAUCCGUAUGUUACCCCUUUUUAUUGUCUCUUUUUCAGAUAAUCAAAAAGAACCAAGUCGGGUUAGGUCGGUCCACAUGGACGAUUCAUGACCCGUAAUCCAACAGUUUUCUUUAGACCUGUAUUCUAUCAACGUUCUCUGAGUAUUGUUAUUGUCAAAUCUGAAAACUUUGAACCCUUUUUAGUCUCAUAACUUCAUAAAAUGAUGCAAAAUGCAUUCGAGAAUAAUAAAGACCAAACUCUUACUUUCUUCAUAAAAAGUGUACGGUUCAUAAAUAUUAGUCAGAUACUUUGUUUGGUUCACUAACUUCCUACAGUUAUUCUAAAGUUUCAUCUAAAACUCAAAUAAAUUAGCCUACAUUGCUUUUCAGAUUUCGAGAAACAAAUAAUCUAAUUUUGAUAAAAAAAAAAAAAAAUGAGGCAUGAAAUUUUUAAAUUUUUUGAAACAAAUUUUACAUAUUUAAAACUACAGAAAAAGUAUUGUAAGUUAGAAUACUUAAUAAUGCAAAAUAUUUAAAAGAUAUAUGAAAAAAUUAUGGUGAAGAAAAGACUUGUUGGAAUGUCGAAAUUCGAAAGAUACUACAUGAAUUGAAAUGAAGGAAGUGCAUAAUUAUAUGAAGAGAAACACUCAUAAUCAAAACACAACAAAGUGCUAGCCCCACAAAAGAGCACCACCACCAUUGAUCAUUAUAUGAAUAGGAAAGAUUAAAAAAAAAAAAGCAAGAAUGAAUAGAUAUAAAUAAAGCAAUAACGCAUGUUGCGAGAUAAAUUUAUACUAAAAGAAUAUUUAUACUUAUAGUUGAUAUUACAAAGCAAAAUAUUUCUACAAAUAGAUUUACCAGCGAAAUCUACGCCCACACGAAAUUAUGAACUUGAAAGUAUAUGAGAUUAGCUCUAUUCACACUUAUUGAGGGGAGAUCGAGAUUUGAUAGCGAAGAAAGUAAUUGUUAAAAUAUGAAGAAUUGAGCCAAUCAUCAAUUCAAUUAAACAAACAAAAUUGUAAUUAGAAAAUUAAAUAAAAAGUUAAAUAUUUAUACUUGUAGAAUUACCAACAACAUCUACGCCCACACGAAAUAACGAACUUAACAAUAAAAAAGUCCAAAAAAUAAAAAUUUAUGGAGAAAGCCAAUUUUAUAACCAAAAUCUUGAAUAUGAGAAAUACCAUAUACAUCAUCAUCAACAUGAUUUUUUAAAAAUUUAUACUUAAACACGUAAACUACAUUCACAUAAUUAUAUUUUUAAAAGGUUACAAAAUUAAGAAGGAAAAAAUUGUGCACAGGGCUUAACGUUCUUAUCGAAAAACCUUCUUUCGUUUUCUCCUUUGUUACAUACUUCAUCUAUAAGUCAAAGAAAAACACAAAAUAUGAAUUCAAAAAUUACAUAGACAUGAAAUCUACUAAGUUUGAUGGGACUCUCACAUAGAAAAGGAAAAAAAGAAAAGAAAAGAGAAGAAGAAAACAAGUUUUCAUUUAGUUACCGCAAAUUUAUAAGACGUUUGGAGUCUUUGGUAAAAUCAAUAACGAUUCUUUCCCUUAUCAUAUAUAUAAAACUCUUUUUUGAAAUCUACUUUAUUAUUUAUUUUUGGAUCAAACCUAUUUUAGUUGGAAAAAGGUUUGUUGUCUAAUUUUUUGGGAUGCAAUUUACAAAUUUGACCAUAAUAAGAAAACAUUCUUCAUCUAAUUUUUAAUAUGCUUAUUAUUAUUAUAGUAAAUAUUUAAUAUCAUAAAAAAUAAUAGGAACAAAGUGAAAGGACAAUUUUAUCUAAAGUAGAGACGUUUAAUGAAGGACAAAAAGUUCAAACAAUAUUUCUAAGGUCCUUCACACUUUUAAUAUAAUAUAGAUUAAGAGAGAUAUUAAGAAAGACUUAUUAUAUUUUUCUAAUGUUAUUCUUAUUAUUACGUAACUAUAUAGAGUUAUAGCAGCCAAAUUUAAAUUUUAAUGGUUUUUCAAUGAUAACUAAUUAAAUAUAAUUAGUUAUAAAUUCUCCAAUCAAGAAUUAUAUAUGUACAUAUUAAUAAUCGAUUUUAAAUUUAUUUUCAACCUCUCCCACGCCUUCAAGAAAGUGAGCACACACUCUCUCCCAUAUCAUUAUCCAAAGGUGUAUUUAUUCUAAUUCAAAAUUAUGCACUGCAAAUCCAGCAGUAGUUGAAGAAGUACUUAUUUGCCUUUUCCCUUAAUUGAACUUAAAUCAGCUGUUCAAAUUUAAUUAAAAAAAAUAUGUUACGUGGCUUUAAAAAUUAUCUCACUCAUUAUUUUACCCCUUUAGACUGGAGCUAUUUAUUAGACAACAAGAAUAUAUAUAUUUCAUUAUACCAUAAAGUUAAGAGGUAUAUUUACCCCUUUUUCAUUAUAAUAUACACAUCGUUGCUUGCACAAAGUCAAAUGACUUCAUAUAUCUCUAACUUUAUCUUUCAUUUUAUCCUUUACUACUGUACGUACCCGUGUGAUGCAAGGAUAAUAUUAAAAAAUAGUUCUAAUCAUUUUAUAUUGAAAUAUCUCAUUUGAGUAUGUUAAAUCAUAUUAUCCUUAAAAAAACUUAUUAACUAUCAUACUAUUUCUUAAUGAAAUGCAAAAAAGAAAAAAGAAAAAAAGAAAAAUCUACCCCUACUUCGCUUCCAUCUCCACAUCCCUCCUCCUCCCUUAAUUUUUAAAAGAUAAAAAGAAAAAAUCCCCCCCACCCCCACCAACACCACACACACACAUCCACCCGUCCCCACCCAAUCCCACACAUCUAAUCAAAUCUAUAACAAAAAUAAUUAUUAUGUAAUUGUAAAAAUAAUUUUAUGUUCCAUCUCCCUUCUUUCACCUUCCACCCUACCCCCACUCCACCUCCACAUACACAUGCACAUAUACACAUACACAUACACUCCAGUCAGUCCACCCACACAAUCUUUCACCUCUAAUCAAAUCUAUACGAAAAAAUAAUUGUGCAUUGUAAUAAAUAUGUUUUAUAUUUUUUUAUUAUAUUAUUCACAAUAUAAAGAUAUUAGAUUGUUAAUAUUUCCUCCCCCUCCCUAAUUACAUCAUUUUUUAAAAAUAAACCUCCUCCACCUCACCCACCCAUCCUCAUAUAAUCCCCCAUCUCUAACCGAAUCUAUAUGAAAAAAUAACUAUGUAAUUAGGCACCCAUGAUAAAUAAAUUAGUUGGUAAUCCAACAGACUCCGACGCCGGCGACGUCGUAGAUGCGCCGGCACAGGUAAGGGCCCACUCUCACUCCCCCGUUCUCUCUCUCCAGUCCUCUCUCUCCCCAGUUCUCUCUCUUCUCUGCUCUUUUUUUCUCUCGUCAUUGCUAUGGUCGGUGGAAUUAGGAUUUUCGCUGGCUCGACUCCGGCGAUAGCAUAGUGUGCAACAUCGGUCAAACUCGGUUAAAACAGUUGGUGUGACGUCAAACGGCAACCAGUUGCUGGCAGAACUAAGAAGAUGCUCUGGCGAUGUACCAGCAGCUUCUUUUAAACGACUCUAUUUCGGUAACCAAUUUCGACAUCAAAAUUGCCGUAAUCAGCACACGCAAGAGUCAAGGAUAAUAUUAAAAAAUAAUUCUAAUCAUUUUAUAUUGAAAUAUCUCAUUUGAGUAUGUUAAAUCAUAUUAUCCUUAAAAAAACUUAUUAACUAUCAUACUAUUUCUUAAUGAAAUGCAAAAAAGAAAAAAGAAAAAAAGAAAAAUCUACCCCUACUUCGCUUCCAUCUCCACAUCCCUCCUCCUCCCUUAAUUUUUAAAAGAUAAAAAGAAAAAAUCCCCCCCACCCCCACCAACACCACACACACACAUCCACCCGUCCCCACCCAAUCCCACACAUCUAAUCAAAUCUAUAACAAAAAUAAUUAUUAUGUAAUUGUAAAAAUAAUUUUAUGUUCCAUCUCCCUUCUUUCACCUUCCACCCUACCCCCACUCCACCUCCACAUACACAUGCACAUAUACACAUACACAUACACUCCAGUCAGUCCACCCACACAAUCUUUCACCUCUAAUCAAAUCUAUACGAAAAAAUAAUUGUGCAUUGUAAUAAAUAUGUUUUAUAUUUUUUUAUUAUAUUAUUCACAAUAUAAAGAUAUUAGAUUGUUAAUAUUUCCUCCCCCUCCCUAAUUACAUCAUUUUUUAAAAAUAAACCUCCUCCACCUCACCCACCCAUCCUCAUAUAAUCCCCCAUCUCUAACCGAAUCUAUAUGAAAAAAUAACUAUGUAAUUAGGCACCCAUGAUAAAUAAAUUAGUUGGUAAUCCAACAGACUCCGACGCCGGCGACGUCGUAGAUGCGCCGGCACAGGUAAGGGCCCACUCUCACUCCCCCGUUCUCUCUCUCCAGUCCUCUCUCUCCCCAGUUCUCUCUCUUCUCUGCUCUUUUUUUCUCUCGUCAUUGCUAUGGUCGGUGGAAUUAGGAUUUUCGCUGGCUCGACUCCGGCGAUAGCAUAGUGUGCAACAUCGGUCAAACUCGGUUAAAACAGUUGGUGUGACGUCAAACGGCAACCAGUUGCUGGCAGAACUAAGAAGAUGCUCUGGCGAUGUACCAGCAGCUUCUUUUAAACGACUCUAUUUCGGUAACCAAUUUCGACAUCAAAAUUGCCGUAAUCAGCACACGCAAGAGUACCCCGGUGACAUCCGAACUUUAUUAUUUAGUUACUCUUUACAGAUUAGUUUCUUUAUAUUUGUUUUCGAUUCCUUGUGAUUAUAGUUGGGUUUGGCUUACUUAUUGGCGGAUAUUGUUGUGUUGUUCUAGCUGCUAGGCCGGAUAGUGUAUCCUUGAUAGUAUAUUUUUUAUGUGUGCCUGCUGUUUUCCUUUGUGGCUUUGUUUGUUUGUUUGCCAGUUUGUUGGAAAGUUAAGGGCUUUGUUUUGAUUUUUGAGGAGUGACUGUGGGGGUUAUUGACACCUAAUUUUUUUCCUCUACGACUAAGUUUGAAUCCGAGUUUCUUCGAUUUUAAAUAAAAUUACAAUAUUUAUUUUAUUUAGAUAAAAGCUUUUCAAAGUAUUUGUUUGGGUGAUUUUGUCAUUUUAGGUAACGAUUAUAUAGUUCUUAUUCACUUAUACAGAAUUAUAUGAUUUUAAUAUUUAAAUAACUAUUUGAUGAGAAAUUGAAUUUCAAUCAAUGGUUAUCACAAAAAUUGAUUCAAAUGGUUAAAAUUUUAAUAUAAUUCACCCUCAAAAUGAUUUAAAUUGAACAUAAAAUAAGACCAAAAUAAAAUAAAAUAUUUAUUUGAUCUUAUUAAAUCAAGAAACUCGGGAUUAAACUAAUUGUUAAUUUAUUUUGAAUUUUAAUUUAAUUUAGUCGAUCUAUUAAAAUUGACCAUAAUUGAAAUUAAAUUGAUCACAAUUGAAAUAUAAUUGGUCAAUUGAUGUUCAAAUGGUUAAUAUUUAAAUAAAAUUGACUAAAAUUCUAGUCAAACUUGAUCAUUUAAUAGAGGAAAAGUUACAGAAACUGGCAUCCUUAAGACUAUAAUUACAAUAAAUAGUAAUGCUUUUUUAAAAUUACAACUUAUAACAAAAGUAACAAUAUUUUACUCACUUCAUAGUAAUAGAAGAAUAUGUAUUUUUCAGUUGUGCAUAUUUAUUAUGAGUAAUACAUAUAUAUUUGUAUAUAUAUUUAUAUAACAAUAUUUUACUUAAAUACAAAUAUAAUUUGCUAUUUUUCGUAAUUAUGAAACUGUUGCUUUAAAAGUUAUAAUUAAGACUACGAAGUUACUAUUUCUGAAAUUUUCCCUUUAAUAAAUGGCCAAAUUUUGACCCUUUCCAUCUUAAUCUUGGCCACAAAAGCAG